rnacentral:rRNA from 1 species
UACAGAGGGGGCAAGCGUUAUUCGGAAUUAUUGGGCGUAAAGGGCGCGUAGGCGGCUUUUCAAGUGACGGGUGAAAAUCCCUCGGCUUAACCGAGGAACUGCCUGUCAGACUGGAAGGCUUGAGACCGGGAGAGGUGAGUGGAAUUCCCAGUGUAGCGGUGAAAUGCGUAGAUAUUGGGAGGAACACCAGUGGCGAAGGCGGCUCACUGGACCGGUACUGACGCUGAGACGCGAAAGCGUGGGGAGCGAACAGG